CCUACGGGAGGCAGCAGUGAGGAAUAUUGGUCAAUGGACGAGAGUCUGAACCAGCCAAGUAGCGUGAAGGAUGACUGCCCUAUGGGUUGUAAACUUCUUUUAUAUGGGAAUAAAAUGUUCCACGUGUGGGAUUUUGUAUGUACCAUAUGAAUAAGGAUCGGCUAACUACGUGCCAGCCGCCGCGGUAAUACGGAGGAUCCGAGCGUUAUCCGGUUUUAUUGGGUUUAAAGGGAGCGUAGGUGGAUUGUUAAGUCAGUUGUGAAAGUUUGGGGCUCAACCGUAAAAUUGCAGUUGAAACUGGCAGUCUUGAGUACAGUAGAGGUGGGCGGAAUUCGUGGUGUAGCGGUGAAAUGCUUAGAUAUCACGAAGAACUCCGAUUGCGAAGGCAGCUCACUGGACUGCAACUGACACUGAGGCUCGAAAGUGUGGGUAUCAAACAGGAUUAGAUACCCUUGUAGUC
rnacentral:rRNA from 1 species